CAUAAAACGGUGCGUUUCGCCCCCAUAAUACCAUGUUGGUGGUUGCAACUCCCCCGCGGUUUAGCGGGUGGAGAUCCCCCGCGAAUUUUUAUCGCUAGGAUCCGGGAGGAGGAUGGUUGUAUCUCCUUGGUGUAGGGGUUAAUAUUUAUAUGAUAACAAGGGGAACCCCGGGGGGGGGAGGGCGGCCCAUCUUGGGUGGUUACUGACGGUGAAGACGCGAAAGGGUUGGUAGCAAAACAGAUUACAUACCCCUGGUAGUCCUACCCCCAAAAGGAUGUUCUCUUGGUUGUAAUAGGUACCCAACCCCUAUCGUGCCGGAGCUAACGCUUUAAGCGAUCCGCGGGGGGAGUACGGUCGCAAGGCUAAACUCAAAGGAAAUGGCGGGGGCCCCCCACAAGCGGUGGAGCAUGUGUUUAAUUUCGACGCAACGCGAAGAACCUUACCUGGGGCUCGAAAUGUAGUGGACGGGGGGGGAAACAUCCCCUUCCCGCAAGGGCUGCUAUAUAGGUGCUGCAUGGCUGUCGUCAGCUCGUGUCGUGAGAUGUUGGGUUAACUCCCCCAACGAGCGCAACCCUUAUUCCCAGUUGCCAUCAUUUAGUUGGGCACUCUGGCGAAACUCCCCCGGAUAACGGGGAGGAAGGUGGGGAUGACGUCAAGUCCUCAUGGCCUUUAUGUCCAGGGCUACACACGUGCUACAAUGGGUGGUACAAACCGUCGCAAACCCGCGAGGGGGAGCUAAUCGGAAAAAGCCAUCCUCAGUUCGGAUUGGAGUCUGCAACUCGACUCCAUGAAGCUGGAAUCGCUAGUAAUCGCGGAUCAGCACGCCGCGGUGAAUACGUUCCCGGGCCUUGUACCCACCGCCCGUCACAUCACGAAAGUGGGUUGUACUAGAAGUCGUCGUGCCAACCGCAAGGAGGCAGACCCCCAAGGUAUAAUUCAUGAUUGGGGUGAAGUCGUAUCAAGGUAACCAAGGCGAAUCUUGCGAAAGCUUAUG
rnacentral:rRNA from 1 species